CCCCGGGACAGCGGAGGCGGGGCUUGAGGGCUGGGCCCGAGGCCACCGGGUUGGGAUUUCGGGCAGCCCUUGUGGCUGCCUGACCCUGGAAGUGGGCUGACGGCUGCGGCGCCGGGCGGCGGCAAAAUCUCAGAUCCUGCUGGUGGCAGCGGUGGUGGUGGUAGCGGUGGCAGCGGCUGCUGGAGCAGCAGCAGCAGCAGCGAUGUUUCACUUCUUCCGAAAGCUUCCAGAAUCGAAAAAGCCCUCUGUUCCAGAGACAGAAGCAGAUGGAUUUGUCCUCUUAGGCUUAUGUUUUGAAUGGUUGGUCUCCAGCUGAUUGCACUGUUUUG